AUAUAUUUCCAGGAUUUCUUGACCAUAAUAUAUUUAUUUCCCUUUUUAAUAGGCAUGAAAAUGACUUCUGCAAACUUGGCAACAGGAAUAUUUCUCUUCUCCCAGACUGCAAUGGGAAUGAUUGGCAAUUCCUCAAUACUAUUUUAUUAUAUCAUUUUGAUAUUCACUGGCAAGCAUUUAAUGCCGAAAGACCAGAUUAUAGAGCACCUGACAUUUGCCAAUUGUUUGUCUAUCAUCUCAAAUGGCAUUCCACAGACUCUGUCAGAUUUGGGAUUUAAGGAUUUCCUAGAUGAUACUGGAUGUAAACUGAUAAUGUUUAUUUACCGAAUAACCAGGGGGAUGUCUCUGUAUGCAAUGUGCCUAUUGAGUUGCUUCCAAGCAAUCACAAUCAGCCCCAGGAACUCCAGGUGGAUGAUGCUUAAACACAGAGCCACAAAGUACAUUGGUCUCUCCUGCUUAGUCAGUUGGCUUCUGCACCUGCUUCUAAACAUCACAGCUCCAAUAAAAGUGACAGGCCCCAUUUCUAGCAAAAACGUGACAAACAUGUUGAGUUAUGGGUACUGCUCAUGGUUCACUUCUAGCAAUGUUGCAACUGCAUUGUAUAUGUUCUUAUUGUGCUUCUACGAUGGCUUGUGUCUGAGUCUCAUGGCCUGCUCAAGUGUUUCCAUGGUGAAUAUCCUCUACAGACAUAAGAGACAAGUCAAACAUAUCCACAGUGCUCAACAUUUUCUGAAAGUCUUGCCUGAGGACAGAGCCACCCAAAUUAUUCUCAUCCUGGUAUGCACAUUUGUCAUCUCUUACUCAAUCUCUUCUAUUCGUGUGAUCUUUUCAAGCUACACUGAGAAAUCAGUGCUAUGGGGAGUGAGUUUAUUUAUAUUUCUAGAAAUAUGCUUUCCCAUAUUUUGCCCCUUUGUACUCGUCAGCAAUAUCAAGUGUCAUUUCAGACUGUUUUUACCGUGUUGUGGUAAGAGAUAG
rnacentral:lncRNA from 1 species